rnacentral:rRNA from 1 species
UACGUAGGGUGCGAGCGUUAAUCGGAAUUACUGGGCGUAAAGCGUGCGCAGGCGGUUUUUUAAGCCAGCUGUGAAAUCCCCGGGCUUAACCUGGGAAUGGCAUUUGGGACUGCAAGGCUUGAGUGCGGCAGAGGAGACUGGAAUUCCUGGUGUAGUGGUGAUAUGCGUAGAUAUCGGGAGGAACACCAGUGGCGAAGGCGGCUCUCUGGGCCUUUCCUGACGCUGAGACGCGAAAGCGUGGGGAGCAAACAGG